rnacentral:rRNA from 1 species
GUCCACGCCCUAAACGAUGUCAACUGGUUGUUGGGAGGGUUUCUUCUCAGUAACGUAGCUAACGCGUGAAGUUGACCGCCUGGGGAGUACGGCCGCAAGGUUGAACUCAAAGGAAUUGACGGGGACCCGCACAAGCGGUGGAUGAUGUGGUUUAAUUCGACGCAACGCGAAAACCUUAACCUACCCUUGACAUGUCUGGAAUUUUGCAGAGAUGUGAAAGUGCUCGAAAGAGAGCCAGAACACAGGUGCUGCAUGGCCGUCGU